rnacentral:rRNA from 1 species
UACGUAGGGACCAAGCGUUGUCCGGAAUCAUUGGGCGUAAAGAGCGUGUAGGCGGCUUGUUAAGUCUUGCGUGAAAUCUCGGGGCUCAACCCCGAGCGGUCGUGAGAAACUGGCAGGCUAGAGUGCGGGAGAGGAGAGUGGAAUUCCUGGUGUAGCGGUGGAAUGCGCAGAUAUCAGGAGGAACACCGAUGGCGAAGGCGGCUCUCUGGAACGCAACUGACGCUGAGACGCGAAAGCGUGGGGAGCAAACAGG